GGAAUUGUGGCUUAGUGGUAGAGCACUUGCCUAGCAUGCACAAGGCCCUGGGUUCGAUCCCCAGUACCA
rnacentral:tRNA from 1 species